rnacentral:rRNA from 1 species
GAAUAUGGGGGGACCAUCCUCCAAGGCUAAAUACUCCUGACUGACCGAUAGUGAACCAGUACCGUGAGGGAAAGGCGAAAAGAACCCCGGCGAGGGGAGUGAAAAAGAACCUGAAACCGUGUACGUACAAGCAGUGGGAGCCCCACCACUAAGCCAGUGGUGAACUCCACAUACGCAUCCUUUGCUGAGGAUACGGUUAACGGAGCGAAAGCGACGUUCAACCGCAAAAGAAGCAGAGGGGGCUUAGUGGUGGGGUGACUGCGUACCUUUUGUAUAAUGGGUCAGCGACUUAUAUUCUGUAGCAAGGUUAACCGCAUAGGGGAGCCGGAGGGAAACCGAGUCUUAAUUGGGCGUUAAGUUGCAGGGUAUAGACCCGAAACCCGGUGAUCUAGCCAUGGGCAGGUUGAAGGUUGGGUAACACUAACUGGAGGACCGAACCGACUAAUGUUGAAAAAUUAGCGGAUGACCUGUGGCUGGGGGUGAAAGGCCAAUCAAACCGGGAGAUAGCUGGUUCUCCCCGAAAGCUAUUUAGGUAGCGCCUCGUGAAUUCAUCUCCGGGGGUAGAGCACUGUUUCGGCUAGGGGGCCAUCCCGGCUUACCAACCCGAUGCAAACUGCGAAUACCGGAGAAUGUUAUCACGGGAGACACACGGCGGGUGCUAACGUCCGUCGUGAAGAGGGAAACAACCCAGACCGCCAGCUAAGGUCCCAAAGUCAUGGUUAAGUGGGAAACGAUGUGGGAAGGCCCAGACAGCCAGGAUGUUGGCUUAGAAGCAGCCAUCAUUUAAAGAAAGCGUAAUAGCUCACUGGUCGAGUCGGCCUGCGCGGAAGAUGUAACGGGGCUAAACCAUGCACCGAAGCUGCGGCAGCGACACUAUGUGUUGUUGGGUAGGGGAGCGUUCUGUAAGCCUGCGAAGGUGGCCUGUGAGGGUUGCUGGAGGUAUCAGAAGUGCGAAUGCUGACAUAAGUAACGAUAAAGCGGGUGAAAAGCCCGCUCGCCGGAAGACCAAGGGUUCCUGUCCAACGUUAAUCGGGGCAGGGUGAGUCGACCCCUAAGGCGAGGCCGAAAGGCGUAGUCGAUGGGAAACGGGUUAAUAUUCCCGUACUUGGUGUUACUGCGAAGGGGGGACGGAGAAGGCUAUGUUGGCCGGGCGACGGUUGUCCCGGUUUAAGCGUGUAGGUGUGUGUUCCAGGUAAAUCCGGUU